CCUUAAUUUACAAUUAUUGUGAUAGAAUGCAUUCAAGCCAUUCAAUCUAACAUUGAUCAAGUUUGAUUGUGGAGUGACUUAAUUUAGAACAAGAUGUCAAAAUCUUGCUUCUAGAUCUUUGAUCUAAGAGGUAAUCUAAUCCUAACUUUCUUUUAAUUGAUCUAAAUUAGUAUAACGAGGUGUUAGUUUCUUAUUUCAAAGUUUCUUACUACAUUAAUAGCUUUGAUCUUUGGAUUAAUGUAAACGUGAGAUUUUCCUUGGAUUCUUUGCUAUUGCCAUAUAAUAUAAGAGAUAGAAUUUAAGUUGGCGAGGAAAAAUGACAAUGCUUUUAGUUCAAGUUGUGUUAGGUAUUUUGGAUUUUUUCAUAAAAAAGAGGUAAAAGAGAAAUAAAAAGAAGAUGGAAUUUUGUUUAUUAAUAUUUAUAUAUUUAGCAUUCAGAAAGAAAAAGAAAAGAAAAAGAAAAGAAAAAGAAAGGAAGAGAAGAAAGUUAAUUUAAAAUAGGUUUUUUUUUUAAAAAAAAGAGAAGGUGAAAGGGGUUAUUAAGUUGUUUUCAUUUUUAACCCUAAACUCCACCGCCAAAAUUUCUUCUCCCAUUUCUCAUCAUUUUUUUUUUGGUUCAACAACUUGAGAGCUGAGUCGAGGGAGGAUUUGAGAAGAUUGGAAGCAAAUAUUCUGCACUUUGGAGAGUCAAGAAGAUAGAAAAUUGCAAGCUCAAGUCAUUUUUCAUGACAGUUUGAAUUCACACAGACAUCUUUUGAUUUUUGUGUUGGUUUGAGCUGAUCAAGAAGAAUUAAAAUGCCAAGAUGAAAUCGGUCGAAUCUACACACUAGGGAACUAACCUAAGGUACUAAGUGAAACAAAUUUCAAAACUAAUUUACUAAGUGACAAACAAAUUUCAAAACAAAUUUCUAAACUAUUAUUUAUGAUUGUGUUUCUAUGUUUGAAUCUAAUUUUGUAAAUAAUACAUUAUUUCUAUGAAUAGUUUCAGGUACACGAGGUUUUUAUGAUGAAAUCUAUAUAUAGGCACAUUAUUAUCUACUUUCUGAAAAGUAGUUAAAAUAGUAUCGUUUUAAGCAAAUAUUAAUUUUUUUUUAGAUGUUUAGUUUUCUACAAACAAUCUGAGUAAGCUUGAGUUUUACAAAAGAUAAAGAUAACAUACAUGUUUUAAUAUUUUCAUAUGAAUUUUUGAGAUUUUUGUUAACUUGACUGAGAUGUUAAGCUCGAGGCCAUAUCGUGCUGUGUGCACACAUGUUAGAUUUUGUUGUUAACUUUAAGUGUAUUCCAUAACAACGAUGCUGUCAUGAGUGUUGAACGGGUCUCACUACAUCGUAGAGCUAGUAAACGUUAGUUGUACUGGACGUGCCCUACACAACGUACAUUUUGUCACGAUAGUUAAAAUAAUUAAUAUGCUUGAUAUACCUUUCUAUUUUUCAAUGGCAAACUUGUUGAAUAUUUGAGAAUGCUGUUAUUAGUACAUGUUUGUAUUUAAAGUUUUUUGAGAAAGCUGUUAUUAGUACAUGUUUGUAUUUAAAGUUUUGAGUAAACAAAUUUGAAUGUGUAAGGUUUUCUCAUGUGCUCUGGAUUCCAAAUUUACAGUUUAAACUUAGUCAUUCACUGAGCUUUAUAGCUUACUCUUCCAAAAUGUUUCUUUUCCAUUUUUCAAGUAAAGAUCAAGCUCCUGGUGCCUGAUAGACUAUCUUAGUUUGCUGAAAGCUCCCAAUUUGUUAGCCAGUACGUGGGUGGAGUUGUACAUUGAGUCUGUUUUGUUAUGUGUAUAUAUAGGCGUUUGUAAGAUUUAGAUAAUUUCUUUUGGUGUUGUUAUUGUGUAAACUUUUGUUGGAUAUCCUUUUAGUUAUGUUGUCUUCAUUAAGUUUAAGGGCUAAAUGGGUUAUUUCAGGACUGCAUUUCAUGUAUGUUUAUGGAUUAUCUAGGUUUCAUUGUGUUGUGCUCACAUAGUAUGUUUAUCAAGUUCAAGAGUUACUAGGGUCAACAAGUAUCGUUAAAGCAAAGCAAUGUUAAUCGGCUUCACUUUGUUUUCUGGGCUAAGCUAGCAGGUAACUUGGGAGGGGGUGUGACAAUUGAGGAUUAGAAUUUUCUUAUCAUUUGGCAUCAGAGCAUAGGUUUCAUCUUUAUGGCCAACUCUAGAAUUGAUUC